rnacentral:tRNA from 1 species
CCCCGUGUAACUAAGAUUAAGUGCUGGGUUCUUACCUCAGUAAUGUAGCGUCUACCGCAGGGU